GACGGAGCGAAGCGACGUCAAAGCGUAUACAAAGUCGAGUCGGUUUAAGGAUACGUUCGUUGGGUAGGGGAGCGUUCUGUAAGCCUGUGAAGGUGUGUCGUGAGGCAUGCUGGAGGUAUCAGAAGUGCGAAUGCUGACAUAAGUAACGAUAAAGCGGGUGAAAAGCCCGCUCGCCGGAAGACCAAGGGUUCCUGUCCAACGUUAAUCGGGGCAGGGUGAGUCGACCCCUAAGGCGAGGCCGAAAGGCGUAGUCGAUGGGAAACGGGUUAAUAUUCCCGUACUUGGUGUUACUGCGAAGGGGGGACGGAGAAGGCUAUGUUGGCCGGGCGACGGUUGUCCCGGUUUAAGCGUGUAGGUGUGUGUUCCAGGUAAAUCCGGUUCACUUUAACACUGAGGCGUGACGACGAGGCACUACGGUGCUGAAGCAACAAAUGCCCUGCUUCCAGGAAAAGCCUCUAAGCAUCAGGUAACAUCAAAUCGUACCCCAAACCGACACAGGUGGUCAGGUAGAGAAUACCAAGGCGCUUGAGAGAACUCGGGUGAAGGAACUAGGCAAAAUGGUGCCGUAACUUCGGGAGAAGGCACGCUGACACGUAGGUGAAGUGAUUUACUCAUGGAGCUGAAGUCAGUCGAAGAUACCAGCUGGCUGCAACUGUUUAUUAAAAACACAGCACUGUGCAAACACGAAAGUGGACGUAUACGGUGUGACGCCUGCCCGGUGCCGGAAGGUUAAUUGAUGGGGUCAGCGCAAGCGAAGCUCCUGAUCGAAGCCCCGGUAAACGGCGGCCGUAACUAUAACGGUCCUAAGGUAGCGAAAUUCCUUGUCGGGUAAGUUCCGACCUGCACGAAUGGCGUAAUGAUGGCCAGGCUGUCUCCACCCGAGACUCAGUGAAAUUGAACUCGCUGUGAAGAUGCAGUGUACCCGCGGCAAGACGGAAAGACCCCGUGAACCUUUACUAUAGCUUGACACUGAACAUUGAGCCUUGAUGUGUAG
rnacentral:rRNA from 1 species